UGAGUAACCUGCCCUUAAACUCUGGGAUAAGCCUGGGAAACUGGGUCUAAUACCGGAUAUGACUCCUCAUCGCAUGGUGGGGGGUGGAAAGCUUUUUGUGGUUUUGGAUGGACUCGCGGCCUAUCAGCUUGUUGGUGAGGUAANGGUUUCNCACCAAGGCGACGACGGGUAGCCGGCCUGAGAGGGUGACCGGCCACACUGGGACUGAGACACGGCCCAGACUCCGUACGGGAGGCAG
rnacentral:rRNA from 1 species